rfam:Triticum aestivum genome assembly, contig: Triticum_aestivum_CS42_TGACv1_scaffold_679997_T_7DS-0.258815_1DS-0.138185
CAAAUACUCCCUCCGUCCGGAAAUACUCGUCAUCAAAAUGAAUAUAAAAGGGGAUGUAUCUAGAUGUAUUUUAAUUCUAGAUACAUCCCUUUUUAUCCAUUUUGAUAACAAGUAUUUUUGGACGGAGGGAGUAAUAG